UCAAUACUCACACCAGGAGAGGUUUAAGCCUUUAUUAAUGACCAAGACAGCAGGACAGAGAGCAAUAAAUGUUCCCACUGUGGAAGCAGUCAGUUUAGAAGGGCCGUGGCAAAUGGCUCAGCACUAGCAAGGCCAUGAGUCCAGCUUGGGGCUCCCAGUACAAGAUCUGGACUUUGAGGAGGAAGUCCAGCACAGGACCACCAAAACAGGCAAUGGGCUGGAGCCCAGGACAUACAAGAAGAGCCAGGGUGAGCUGGGACUGUUCAAACUGCAGAAGAAAAUUUAAAUUCCCCAGCACAAGGGAAUUUAUUGCUGCCUGGGCCUAGCUCAUGGCAGGCUGAAGAGGACAGGGCCAGGCUCUUCUCAGAAGGGCAGGGUAACAGGACAAGAGGCAGUGGGCACAGGCUGAAACAUUGGAAUCUCUGACAAAGCAGGAUGGAAGGUGGCUACAGCUGGAAUAUCCUAGACUCUGCAGGAAUAUAAAGGAAAGAAACAUGGGAUAUGAGGAUAAAGCUGUCCUAAGGAUAAGAGAAUGAGCACUCUUUACACCUGUGGGGUAACCACCACAGGUUUCCUGGGACAGGGAAAAUCCACAUUCAGGUUACAGCCACAAAUCACACAGCAGGUGGGCUGAAGCCUUUGUCCCUGUUCACAUCCCAGCUAGCACUUCCCACCUCACUGACCUUCUGGAUGAGAUUAUCUGCCAAAACUCAGUUUGGCCCAGGAAGAAGGUGCUGGGAUGUGUGGAACUGGCAGGGGACCUCCACACUUCCUCAUGACCAAGGGCUCGAGGUCACACCACAAAGAGCAACAGAGGCAUAGGGGCCAGCUGAUGGGGGCCUGGAGGGGAUUCAGUGGCACUAAAAAUUUGGAUUUGAGUUUGGUUCUAUGAGUCUUGACCUCAUUCUUAUUUGGUUUCCUUCUGUCAGCUGUUAAAUGGGCAGCAGACAGUAGCUACCUGCCUGGCUUUGUGAGGAAAUGCACAAUAAACAGGAUCCAGACA